AGGACGAACGCUGGCGGCGUGCUUAACACAUGCAAGUCGAGCGGUAAGGCCCUUUCGGGGGUACACGAGCGGCGAACGGGUGAGUAACACGUGAGCAAUCUGCCCUUCACUUCGGGAUAAGCCUCGGAAACGGGGUCUAAUACCGGAUAUGACCGCGCUACGCAUGUGGUGUGGUGGAAAGUUCUGGCGGUGGAGGAUGAGCUCGCGGCCUAUCAGCUUGUUGGUGGGGUAAUGGCCUACCAAGGCUUCGACGGGUAGCCGGCCUGAGAGGGUGACCGGCCACACUGGGACUGAGACACGGCCCAGACUCCGUACGGGAGGCCAGCAGGUGGGGAAUAGUUGGACAAGUGGGACGAAAGCCUGAUCCAGCAACGCCGCGUGAGGGAUGACGGCCUUCGGGUUAGUAAACCUCUUCAGCGACCGAGAAGCGAGAGUGGACGGUACGCGACGAAGAAGGAACGCGACCGGACAACGACGUGACCAG
rnacentral:rRNA from 1 species